UUAAUAAUUUAAUUUCUUAGAUAGUCACCAGGAACAAGCAAUGAAAAUUGAAAAGCAUUCAUUAUUGAAGGUAAACAACUCAGUAGUAAAAGAAGUUGCAUCCACCACCACCAGCCCAAGGGCCAUAAUCAUUAAAAGGAAGAGUGAUGAUCCACAAAACUCAGAUGCUCUUAGACAUUAUAAAGGGAGAGCACAAGACAGAGUGACUGGCAAACUUUAUGACUUCAACACCAAGAAAAAUCAGCGCCAGUGGGUAGCAUGAGUGGGCUCUACAUUUAACCCAUUAGCACAUAAAGGGAAU